rnacentral:rRNA from 1 species
AACGCGAAGAACCUUACCGGGGCUUGACAUCCUGCGCUAUCCUAGGAGACUAGGUUUUCCAGCAAUGGAACGCAGAGACAGGUGCUGCAUGGCUGUCGUCAGCUCGUGCCGUGAGGUGUUGGGUUAAGUCCCGCAACGAGCGCAACCCUUGCCGUGUGUUGGUCCAAAAGAUCUCUCACGCGGGACCGCCGGUGACAAGCCGGAGGAAGGUGGGGAUGACGUCAAGUCAGCAUGGCCCUUACGUCCCGGGCUACACACGUGCUACAAUGGAACGGACAGCGAGUCGCUAACCCGCGAGGGCAAGCUAAUCUCACAAACCGUUUCUCAGUUCGGAUUGAAGGCUGCAACUCGCCUUCAUGAAGUCGGAAUCGCUAGUAACCGCAGAUCAGCUACGCUGCGGUGAAUACGUUCCCGGGCCUUGUACACACCGGAGUGC